GCAUAAUCAUUUGCCUUUUAAUUGGAGGCUAGUAUGAAUGGAUAAACGAGGGACCCCCUGUCUCGUAUAAACAAAUAAAAAUUAAUAUUCAGGUGAAGAAGCCUGGGUAACACUAAAAGACAAGAAGACCCUAUAGAGUUUUACUUUAACCUAUAAAAAUUUACAAAUACUCAUAUUUAAAUAAAUAUAAAAAAGUUUAGUUGGGGCGACUAAGGAACAAAAAAACCUUCCUUAAAAUUAAGAACCAAUUCACACUCCAGAUCCUAAAAAGACCAAAAAAAUAACAUUACCUUAGGGAUAACAGGCUAAUCUCCCCAGAGAGUCCAAAUUGACGGGGAGGGUUGGCACCUCGAUGUUGGCUUAAGACAACUCUUAAAUGCAGCAGUUUAAAAAAGUUGGUUUGU
rnacentral:rRNA from 1 species